GACGAACGCUGGCGGCGUGCCUAAUACAUGCAAGUAGAACGCAGUUGCGAACGGGUGAGUAACGCGUAGGUAACUGCCUGGUAGCGGGGGAUCACUAUUGGAAACGAUAGCUAAUACCGCAUACUACCAGAUGCACCUGCGUUGUAUUAGCUAGUUGGUGGGGUAACGGCUCACCAAGGCAACGAUACAUAGCCGACCUGAGUGGGUGAUCGGCCACAAUGGGACUGAGACACGGCCCAGACUCCUCCGGGAGGCAGCAGUAGGGAAUCUUCGGCAAUGGACGGAAGGCUGACCGAGCAAAGCCGCGUGAGUGAAGAAGGUUUUCGGAUCGUAAAGCGCUGUUGUAAGGGAAGCGGUAUCUUACAAGAAAGGGACGGCAAACUACGUGCCAGCAGCCGGGGUAAUC
rnacentral:rRNA from 1 species